AGUGAACGCUGGCGGUAGGCCUAACACAUGCAAGUCGAACGGCAGCACAGUAAGAGCUUGCUCUUACGGGUGGCGAGUGGCGGACGGGUGAGGAAUACAUCGGAAUCUACUUUUUCGUGGGGGAUAACGUAGGGAAACUUACGCUAAUACCGCAUACGACCUACGGGUGAAAGCAGGGGAUCUUCGGACCCUGCGCGAUUGAAUGAGCCGAUGUCGGAUUAGCUAGUUGGCGGGGUAAAGGCCCACCAAGGCGACGAUCCGUAGCUGGUCUGAGAGGAUGAUCAGCCACACUGGAACUGAGACACGGUCCAGACUCCUACGGGAGGCAGCAGUGGGGAAUAUUGGACAAUGGGCGCAAGCCUGAUCCAGCCAUACCGCGUGGGUGAAGAAGGCCUUCGGGUUGUAAAGCCCUGUUGUCGGGAAAGAAAAGCAGCAGGUUAAUACCCCGCUGUUCUGACGGUACCCAAAGAAUAAGCACCGGCUAACUUCGUG
rnacentral:rRNA from 1 species